rnacentral:rRNA from 1 species
UGGGGAAUAUUGCACAAUGGGGGAAACCCUGAUGCAGCAACGCCGCGUGAGUGAUGACGGCCUUCGGGUUGUAAAGCUCUGUCUUCAGGGACGAUAAUGACGGUACCUGAGGAGGAAGCCACGGCUAACUACGUGCCAGCAGCCGCGGUAAUACGUAGGUGGCAAGCGUUGUCCGGAUUUACUGGGCGUAAAGGGAGCGUAGGCGGACUUUUAAGUGAGAUGUGAAAUACCCAGGCUCAACCUGGGUGCUGCAUUUCAAACUGGAAGUCUAGAGUGCAGGAGAGGAGAGUGGAAUUCCUAGUGUAGCGGUGAAAUGCGUAGAGAUUAGGAAGAACACCAGUGGCGAAGGCGACUCUCUGGACUGUAACUGACGCUGAGGCUCGAAAGCGUGGGGAGCAAAC